rnacentral:rRNA from 1 species
ACGGCUCAGUAACACGUGGAUAACCUGCCCAAGGGUCCGGGAUAACCCCGGGAAACUGGGGAUAAUACCGGAUGGAUCACUUAUGCUGGAAUGCUUGGUGGUCGAAAGGUGACGCCCUUGGAUGGGUCUGCGGCGGAUUAGGUUGACGCCGGUGUAACGUACCGGCGUGCCUGUAAUCCGUACGGGUUGUGGGAGCAAGAGCCCGGAGAUGGAUUCUGAGACACGAAUCCAGGCCCUACGGGGCGCAGCAGGCGCGAAAACUCUACAAUGCAGGCAACUGCGAUAGGGGGACAUCGAGUGGCAUCCACCUUGGGUGCCUGUCCCACCGUCUAAAAAACGGUGGUUAGCAAGGGCCGGGCAAGACCGGUGCCAGCCGCCGCGGUAAUACCGGCGGCUCGAGUGGUGGCCGAUAUUAUUGAGUCUAAAGGGUCCGUAGCCGGCUUUGCAAGUCCCCUGGGAAAUCCAGCGGCUUAACCGUUGGGCUUUCAUGGGAUACUACAUUGCUUGGGACUGGGAGAGGUAGGAGGUACUCGGGGGGUAGGGGCGAAAUCCUGUAAUCCCCCGGGGACCACCGGUGGCGAAGGCGUCCUACCAGAACAGGUCCGACGGUGAGGGACGAAAGCUAGGGGCACGAACCGGAUUAGAUACCCGGGUAGUCCUAGCCGUAAACGAUGCCCGCUAGGUGUCACGGCGGUCGUGAAUCGCCGUGGUGCCGUAGGGAAGCCGCGAAGCGGGCCACUUGGGAAGUACGGCCGCAAGGCUGAAACUUAAAGGAAUUGGCGGGGGAGCAC